UACGUAGGGUGCAAGCGUUGUCCGGAAUUAUUGGGCGUAAAGCGUGCGUAGGUGGUUCGUUGUGUCUGUGGUGAAAGCCCCGGGCUUAACCUGGGAAUGGCCAUGGAAACUGGCGAGCUGGAGUGUGGCAGAGGGGGGUGGAAUUCCGCGUGUAGCAGUGAAAUGCGUAGAGAUGCGGAGGAACACCGAUGGCGAAGGCAGCCCCCUGGGCUAACACUGACGCUGAGGCACGAAAGCGUGGGGAGCAAACAGG
rnacentral:rRNA from 1 species